rnacentral:tRNA from 1 species
GGUCACAUAGCUCAGCGGCAUAAGCUCCUGCCUUGCAAGCAGGCAGUCAUGAGUUUGAUUCUUGGUACCA